CUAUGGAAGCCACUUACAAAGUCCAAAUGUGAGGCCCUUCGUCCAUGGAAGCUGUAGGCCAAAUAGCCUUCCUCCUCUGCGUGCCCACAUAGACACAGGGCCACACACACCAGUAUAUUUCUGAGGAGGCAGAGGCAGAAUGGAGUACCUUGGUAUUACUGAGCUUCGUGGAGCAAGCCUGUGGACUUGGAUUAUUCAUCAUAACUGGCAGAGAUCCUACUAUCCAGAACCUUGCAACAUCUCAAUUUUCUUGCUCUAGUGAAUGUCAUAAUGAGCACAUGUACGAUGUGAGUUUAAGAAGAACUUUAAAUCUUUAUAGCAUUUUGA